rnacentral:sRNA from 1 species
UCGAAUAAACUUGAACAGGCUGUUGCUGGCCCUCUGGGGUACGUGCACGCUUGUCAUCUUUAUCAUUUCUCCAACUGUGCACAUAUUGUAGACCUUUCGAGUUGGGGACUGCUGCGCUUUCCCGAAAAGUCGGCUUUCCCUUGUAUUUUUUCAGGUCUAUGUCGCUUUUCACAACCUCUAGAAUGUGUUUAGAAUGUUGAAUCAGGUCUUUUUGUACCUAUAAAAGUUAUAUACAACUUUCAGCAACGGAUCUCUUGGCUCUCGCAUCGAUGAAGAACGCAGCGAAAUGCGAUAAGUAAUGUGAAUUGCAGAAUUCAGUGAAUCAUCGAAUCUUUGAACGCAUCUUGCGCUCCUUGGUAUUCCGAGGAGCAUGCCUGUUUGAGUGUCAUUUAACUUCUAUCAACUGCAUCAUUUUGAUGUGGCUUGGAUGUGGGGGGAUUUUUGCAGGCUCAGGUUUGAAGUCGGCUCCCCUGAAAUGCAUUAGUGGUAUCUGAGCUGCUAUUUGGUGUGAUAAAUUAUCUAUGCCUUUGGUAUGCUGGUCAGCACCGCUUAUAACAAAUAAAUUUGACAAAUUUGACCUCAAA